rnacentral:rRNA from 1 species
UCUAGCAGCCAUAUCACCCUGCAGCCCAAGACUAGUUGCCCACUGAAGCUAAGCAGGGUUGAGCCUGGUCACUAUCUGGAUGGGAGAACUCCUGGGAAAACUAGGUUGCUGCUGGAA